rnacentral:rRNA from 1 species
GAUGAACGCUAGCUACAGGCUUAACACAUGCAAGUCGAGGGGUAACAAGAGAAAAGCUUGCUUUUCUUGUUGACGACCGGCGCACGGGUGAGUAACGCGUAUCCAACCUGCCUAUAACUAGGGAAUAACCUUGCGAAAGUAAGACUAAUACCCUAUGAUUUCCUUUGAUGACAUCAGAUUAGGAAUAAAGAUUUAUCGGUUGUGGAUGGGGAUGCGUCUGAUUAGCUUGUUGGCGGGGUAACGGCCCACCAAGGCAACGAUCAGUAGUGGUUCUGAGAGGAAGGUCCCCCACAUUGGAACUGAGACACGGUCCAAACUCCUACGGGAGGCAGCAGUGAGGAAUAUUGGUCAAUGGGCGGAAGCCUGAACCAGCCAAGUAGCGUGCAGGAUGACGGCCCUAUGGGUUGUAAACUGCUUUUAUACAGGAAUAAAGUUAGCCACGUGUGGUUAUUUGUAGGUACUGUAUGAAUAAGGACCGGCUAAUUCCGUGCCAGCCGCCGCAGUAA